CAAGGAAUUUUGCGCAAUGGGCGAAAGCCUGACGCAGCGACGUCGCGUGGGGGAUGACGGCCUUCGGGUUGUAAACCCCUUUUCCCGGGGAAGAAAUAUGACGGUACCCGGGGAAUAAGUCUUGGCUAACUACGUGCCAGCAGCCGCGGUAAUACGUAGAAGGCGAACGUUAUCCGGAUUUACUGAGCGUAAAGAGGGUGUAGACGGUUCUUUAAGUCAGUUGUGAAAUCUCCCGACUCAAUCGAGAGACUGCAAUUGAUACUGGAGAGCUUGAGGGCAUCAGAAGAAAGCAGAAUUCACGGUGUAGCGGUGAAAUGCGUAGAUAUCGUGAGGAAUACCAGUGGCGAAGGCGGCUUUCUAGGAUGCUCCUGACGUUGAGGCCCGAAAGUGUGGGGAGCAAACAGG
rnacentral:rRNA from 1 species